AUGGCAAGUCGGAGCGGKAGCACAGAGAGCUUGCUCUCGGGUGACGAGCGGCGGACGGGUGAGUAAUGUCUGGGAAACUGCCUGAUGGAGGGGGAUAACUACUGGAAACGGUAGCUAAUACCGCAUAAYGUCGCAAGACCAAAGUGGGGGACCUUCGGGCCUCAUGCCAUCAGAKGUGCCCAGAUGGGAUUAGCUAGUAGGUGGGGUAACGGCUCACCUAGGCGACGAUCCCUAGCUGGUCUGAGAGGAUGACCAGCCACACUGGAACUGAGACACGGUCCAGACUCCUACGGGAGGCAGCRGUGGGGAAUAUUGCACAAUGGGCGCAAGCCUGAUGCAGCCAUGCCGCGUGUGUGAAGAAGGCCUUCGGGUUGUAAAGCACUUUCAGCGGGGAGGAAGGCGKURAGGUUAAUAGCCUYRUCGAUUGACGUUACCCGCAGAAGAAGCACCGGCUAACUCCGUGCCAGSAGCCGCGGUAAUACGGAGGG
rnacentral:rRNA from 1 species